AGCCACCUUCUUUUCUCUCCUCUGAUUCUUCUACUUAGUUCUUUUAUUUUGGACGUUGCUAAAAAUAAGAGUUCUGCGCGGAUCCGAUGAUCUUCACUGGUAAAGUAACAUUUUUAGUGCCGAGAUCAUUUUAUAUGUUUAUUUGAUCUAUUAGUUCAUGAUAUUACUUUUAUUUUUGGUUUCUCGGUUUUGUGGAGCUAACUAGCUAGUGAUGAAAAUCAGAUGAGACGGGUUUUGUAUUGUGAUGUAAGCU
rnacentral:lncRNA from 1 species